UACGUAGGGUGCAAGCGUUGUCCGGAAUUAUUGGGCGUAAAGAGCGUGUAGGCGGCCAGAUAGGUGGGUUGUGAAAACUGGAGGCUCAACCUUCAGACGUCGACCCAAACCCCCUGGCUAGAGUCCGGAAGAGGAGAGUGGAAUUCCUGGUGUAGCGGUGAAAUGCGCAGAUAUCAGGAAGAACACCCGUGGCGAAGGCGGCUCUCUGGGACGGUACUGACGCUGAGACGCGAAAGCGUGGAGAGCGAACAGG
rnacentral:rRNA from 1 species